rnacentral:rRNA from 1 species
GUGUCAGCCGCCGCGGUAAUACAGAGGUCCCAAGCGUUGUUCGGAUUCACUGGGCGUAAAGGGUGCGUAGGUGGCGGGGUAAGUCGGAUGUGAAAUCUCCGAGCUCAACUCGGAAAUGGCAUUGGAAACUGCUCUGCUCGAGGGUUGGAGGGGGGACUGGAAUACUUGGUGUAGCAGUGAAAUGCGUAGAUAUCAAGUGGAACACCAGUGGCGAAGGCGAGUCCCUGGACAACUCCUGACACUGAGGCACGAAAGCUAGGGGAGCAAACAGGAUUAGAUACCCCCGUAGUCC